UUCAGCUGAAGGGUAUAAGUUAGGCUAGAAGUCGAUAAAAGGCGAUUCUGGUGCUUAUAAUCCAUGUAAAGCCCAAUUAAAAGUUUCCCCAACUAUAAACGCAGUCUCAUUUGAAGGCGCAAUAAAAGUGAGGGUUAUUUAUCACGUGUUGCUGUGAUUUCUACCAGGAAAAGUCAACUUCUCCAUAACCAAUCUUGAAAGCGUGUCACGGGGCAACAAGGAUGCGGAUGACUCUUCCAAAGCAGUGAAGUAAUAGGUUGCGGACCAACUUGUUACCCUGAAAAGUUUAGGGACCUGCACUGCUAUCUGCCCAAAAUGGAAAAAUAGAAAGGCUAAGUUAAUUUUUGGUAUUGAUUUAUAUGAUAUGAGAAUUCUUGAAUCUAGAAACUCAACUCGGAGGCAACUAUACAUGAAGCUACAAAUGGAUUUCCAUCUCUGAUUCUGUUAUGUAUGUAGAGUUUCUUUAACACAAAUGAAGUUACUAUUGUUAAUAUCAACAAUUUUCAGGUCCAUUGCUGUACAUACUUCAUUAGCUUAAAACAUUUCAGCAGAUUUUAUUCAAAAUGCUUUCCAGAACUGCUCAAAUCCGUCUGGUGAGUUCACAUCCUGAAGUAUAUGACCCAUGUGAUGAUUCAUUUGCAUUGGUUGAUGCACUUCUAGCGGAUAGAGCAAACUUAUUAGAGCACCGUCCUUCAAUUUGCAUGGAAGUUGGUUGCGGUAGUGGAUACGUUAUUACUUCACUAGCUCUUAUGCUUGGGAAAGACAGUUCUGGUUGCUACUUCAUUGCAACGGAUAUUAACCCUCAUGCAGUUGGAGUGACUCGUAAAACAAUGGAAGCACAUGGAUGUCAUGCGGAUUUGGUAACAACUGACAUUGCAUCAGGGUUAGAGAAGCGUCUGGCUGGAUCAGUAGAUGUGAUGGUUGUGAAUCCGCCUUAUGUGCCAACACCAGAAUACGAAGUUGGUCAGUUUGGCAUUGCAUCUGCCUGGGCUGGCGGUGAGAAUGGCCGGAGCAUUAUUGAUAAAAUAUUGCCUGUUGCUGACAACCUUUUGUCAGAUAAGGGUUGGUUGUACUUGGUUACACUAACUGCUAAUAACCCCUCUGAAAUUUGUCUUCAAAUGAUGAAGAAUGGUUAUGCUUCUCGAAUUGUUCUCCAGAGAUCAACAGAAGAGGAGAGCCUCCACAUUAUUAAGUUAUGGAGAAAUUUGGAUACUCAGUUGGAGGUCUGUUAAAUUACAGCAUUGAACAGAAUAGAUCAUGGAAUGUUAUUGAAUUCUCUACUUUCACGAGUUCCUCAGUUGCCUCUCUGGAGUCAUGACAAUUGCAGUAGUCACUAGUGUAUUCAAGAUUACCUGUGCCUUUCGAGGAAGUUGGAAGCAGAGCCAGAUUUGAGUUUGUUACAUCCAAAAAUAAAAUUUCCCCCUUCGUAUCUCUCACACACGGAGAGGAAAAAUAUUUUUUUUGUUCAAUUUGCCUUGUUUGAGCCCCAUUUUUUUCAAAAAAAAAUGUAUUUUGCAAUAGUGUUACGAUGGAAAAUUUGUGAU